AGCAGCCGCGGUAAUUCCAGCUCCAAUAGCGUAUAUUAAAGUUGUUGCAGUUAAAAAGCUCGUAGUUGAAUUUCGGGAUCAAUACGUCGGUCGUGCUUCGGUACGUACUGGCGUCAUUGAUUUCUCCCUUCUGACGAACCAUGAUGUCAUUAACUUGGUGUCAUGGGAAAUCAGGACUGUUACUUUGAAAAAAUUAGAGUGUUUAAAGCAGGCUCACGCUUGAAUACAUUAGCAUGGAAUAAUGAAAUAGGACGUUCGAUCCUAUUUUGUUGGUUUCUAGGAUUGACGUAAUGAUUAAUAGGGAUAGUUGGGGGCAUUAGUAUUCAAUUGUCAGAGGUGAGAUUCUUGGAUUUAUUGAAGACUAACUACUGCGAAAGCAUUUGCCAAGGAUGUUUUCAUUAAUCAAGAACGAAAGUUAGGGGAUCGAAGACGAUCAGAUACCGUCGUAGUCUUAACCAUAAACUAUGCCGACUAGGGAUCGGAUGAUGUUAAUUUUUUAAUGACUCAUUCGGCGCCUUAC
rnacentral:rRNA from 1 species